GGCCGUGGCGGGGUUCCUCACAUGCAGUCGAGCGCGCCGUUCGGGAGGAGCGUCGGACGGGUUAGUAACGCGUGGGAUAUGCCCUUUGUUACGGAAUAGCCUCUGGAAACGGAGAGUAAUACCGUAUGAGCCCUUCGGUGGAAAGAUUUAUCGCCAAAGGAUUAGCCAGCGUUAGAUUAGGUUGUUGGGGGGGUAAUGGCCUACCAAGCCUACGAUCUAUUGCUGGGUUUAGAGGAUGCUCACCAACACUGGGACUGGACCACGACCCAAACUAAUACCGGAGGCCGCUGUGGCUAAGCCUGACAAUGCUCUAAACCCUGAUCCAGCCAUGCCGCGAAAGUGAUGAAGGCCUUAGGGUCGUAAAGCUCUUUCGCCUGUGAAGAUAAUGACGGUAGCAGGUAAAGAAACCCCGGCUAACUCCGUGCCAGCAGCCGCGGUAAUACGGAGGGGGUUAGCGUUGUUCGGAAUUACUGGGCGUAAAGCGCACGUAGGCGGAUCGGAAAGUUGGGGGUGAAAUCCCGGGGCUCAACCCCGGAACUGCCUCAAAACUAUCGGUCUAGAGUUCGAGAGAGGUGAGUGGAAUUCCGAGUGUAGAGGUGAAAUUCGUAGAUAUUCGGAGGAACACCAGUGGCGAAGGCGGCUCACUGGCUCGAUACUGACGCUGAGGUGCGAAAGUGUGGGGAGCAAACAGGAUUAGAUACCCUGGUAGUCCACACCGUAACGAUGAAUGCCAGUCGUCGGGUAGCAUGCUAUUCGGUGACACACCUAACGGAUUAAGCAUUCCGCCUGGGGAGUACGGUCGCAAGAUUAAACUCAAAGAAUUGACGGGGCCCGCACAAGCGGUGUACAUGUGGUUAAUUCGAAGCACGCGCAGACCUUACCACCCUUGACAUCCCGGACCGUCCAGAGAUGAUCUUUCACUUCGGGACUCGGAGACAGGGCUGCAUGGCUGUCGUCAGCUCGGGUCGCGAGAUGUCGGUUAAAUCCGGCAACGAGCGCACCCAAAUCCUUAGUUGCCAGCAGUUUGGCUGGGCACUCUCGGGAACUGCCCGUGAUAAGCGGGAGGAAGUUUGGAUUACGUCAAGUCUCAAGGCCCUUACGGGUGGGCUACCCCCGGCUAACAUGGCAGUGACAAUGGGUUAAUCCCAAAAAACUGCCCCAUUCGGAUGGGGGCUGGCACUCGACCCCUGAAGUCCGAAUCCCCAGAAACCCGAAAAAACAUAACCCGUGAAAACUUUCCCGGCCUUGACAAACCGCCCGUCAACCCUGGGGAAUGGGUUUACCCCAAGGCCGGGGGAAACCUUUUUGAAGGCAGGAAACGGUUGGUCAG
rnacentral:rRNA from 1 species